GUUUGAUCCUGGCUCAGAUUGAACGCUGGCGGCGUGCCUAACACAUGCAAGUCGAUCGGUAACAGGUGUAGCAAUACAUGCUGACGAGAGGCGGACGGGUGAGUAACGCUUGGGAAUCUGCCUAUUAGUGGGGGACAACCCGGGGAAACUCGGGCUAAUACCGCAUACGCUCUACGGAGGAAAGCCGGGGACCGCAAGGCCUGGCGCUAAUAGAUGAGCCCAAGUCGGAUUAGCUAGUUGGUAGGGUAAUGGCCUACCAAGGCGACGAUCCGUAGCUGGUCUGAGAGGACGACCAGCCACACUGGGACUGAGACACGGCCCAGACUCCUACGGGAGGCAGCAGUGGGGAAUAUUGGACAAUGGGGGAAACCCUGAUCCAGCGACGCCGCGUGGGUGAAGAAGGCCUGCGGGUUGUAAAGCCCUUUCGGUGGGGAAGAAAAGCCUCGACCUAACACGUCGGGGUAUUGACGUAACCCACAAAAGAAGCACCGGCUAACUCUGUGCCAGCAGCCGCGGUAAUACAGAGGGUGCGAG
rnacentral:rRNA from 1 species